ACAGAACACACAAGGUGCACGACAUACAUCAUAGGCAGACAUGACAAGGUUUGCUUCGACUUUUGUCAGAUUUUUAAUAUCGAAACAAGACUGAACCGUUUCAAGUCUUCAGCUGAUGCUGCAUGUCUCCCGAGUGUCGUCAUUUUCAUAUCUUCAUUCUUUUUACCAUCGAAACAAGAAUGACAUCCUUUAAAAGUCCACGGUACCCUCACCACAAGAGGAUUCCUAUGUAAAGGUAUGUGCAGGACCGGUAUGAGGGUACACUAUUUCACAGGAAAUGCAUUGACCUACUGUUGCAGAAUACGCCUGUCAUGCCUGCAGGUGAAUUUUCAACACGGGGAUUGUACCAGCAAGCUGAGCAAACAUUUAACUGGUCGGAUCACUUGCGCUGGAUGAUAAGCGAAGCAACCUGAGAGUGACUAUAAAGGUCAAUCAACUCAUCUUUGGUUUAAUCAAGGUAGGAAGAAGAGAUAGUACCUUGAUUGAUUACUUUUUGUAUUUCUUCAUUUUCUUUCUCACCUUUCUAUAUUUCCCUUUUCCUUCUGUCUUUUAAUAUAUACAUUAUAUUUCCUGGUAUUUGAUACGUUAGCAUCUUCAUGUGAAAAGGUCUAUGUUUUUUGUUUCUUAAUGGCACCAAGGUACAUCUCACCUGUAAAACUGUCUUGUCAUUAAUCUGUCUUUCAUUAUUGAUUAUUUUCUCCUGGCUAUUUUGUUCAGUUCAAAUGCUGCCUUGUUCAAGGUUGCGAGGCCUGAUUAUAACUCUAGUUUUUGUGUAUAGUCUCGGCUACGGCACCCCGACAAGCUAGUUUCCCCAGAUAUUCACCCACACCAACACACCACUCUUUUUCACGCAUCCGCCCACAAUUAUGAUGACCCUAUACCUAUUUUUUUCUCUUAUUUUCUCUCCCCCGGCUCCCCGACCCCGCCCCUUUUUUC